GACGAACGCUACCGGUGUGCCUAAUACAUGCAAGUAGAACGCAGUUGCGAACGGGUGAGUAACGCGUAGGUAACUGCCUCAUAGCGGGGGAUAACUCUUGGAAACGAUAGCUAAUACCGCAUACUGUGAGUUGUACCUGCGUUGAAUUUGCUAGUUGGUGAGGUAAAGGCUCACCAAGGCGACGAUACAUAGCCGACCUGAGAGGAAGAACGUCCACACUGGGACUGGGACAAGGCCGAGAAUCGCAAUGGAAGCAGCAGUAGGGAAUGUUCGUAAAUGUAGGGAAGUUUGAGCGAACAACGACGCGGGAGAGAAGAUGAUGUGCAGAUGGUAAGGAUAUGAUGUUAGAGAAGCGGUGCCUAACCAGAAAGGGACGACUAACUACGUGCCAGCAGCCGCGGUAAUUC
rnacentral:rRNA from 1 species